rnacentral:rRNA from 1 species
GGUAAAUCCUGCCCAGUGAGUAAUUCAACGGCCGCGGUAUCCUGACCGUGCAAAGGUAGCAUAAUCACUUGCCUAUUAAUUGUAGGCUAGAAUGAAGGGACAAACGAGAAUACACCUGUCUCCUUUAAGCCCUUAAAAAUUUAUCUUUAAGUGAAGAAGCUUAAAUUCAUAUGCAGGACAAGAAGACCCUAUAGAGCUUUACCUAAAAUCUACAUAAAUAGUAGCUAGCGGUUCGGUUGGGGCGACCGGGGGACAUUCAUCACCCCCAAACUAAAAGAUAUACCUAUCCCACCAAAGAUCCUUACUCAAGAUCAAAGAAUCAAGCUACCUUAGGGAUAACAGGCUAAUCCUCUUAGAGAGCCCUUAUCGACAAGAGGGGUUGGCACCUCGAUGUUGGCUUAGGACUUCUCCAUGUCGCAGCAGACAUGGCAAGAUGGUUUGUUCAACCAUUAAACUCCUACCUGAUCUGAGUUCAAACCGG